rnacentral:rRNA from 1 species
GACAGAGGUCCCGAGCGUUAGGCGGAAUCACUGGGCUUAAAGCGUGUGUAGGCGGAUGCCUAAGUACCUUGUGAAAUCCCACGGCUCAACCGUGGAACUGCUUGGUAUACUGGGUGUCUUGAGCCACUUAGGGGCGACCGGAACAGACGGUGGAGCGGUGAAAUGCGUAGAUAUCGUCUGGAACGCCAAUGGUGAAAACAGGUCGCUGGGAGUGUGCUGACGCUGAGACACGAAAGCCAGGGGAGCAAACGGG